rnacentral:rRNA from 1 species
GAUGAACGCUGGCGGCGUGCCUAAUACAUGCAAGUCGAGCGAACGGACGAGAAGCUUGCUUCUCUGAUGUUAGCGGCGGACGGGUGAGUAACACGUGGAUAACCUACCUAUAAGACUGGGAUAACUUCGGGAAACCGGAGCUAAUACCGGAUAAUAUUUUGAACCGCAUGGUUCAAAAGUGAAAGACGGUCUUGCUGUCACUUAUAGAUGGAUCCGCGCUGUAUUAGCUAGUUGGUAAGGUAACGGCUUACCAAGGCAACGAUGCAUAGCCGACCUGAGAGAGGGAUCGGCCACACUAGAACGGAGACACGGUCCAGACUCCUACGGGAGGCAGCAGUAGGGAAUCUUCCGCAAUGGGCGAAAGCCUGACGGAGCAACGCCGCGUGAGUGAUGAAGGUCUUCGGAUCGUAAAACUCUGUUAUUAGGGAAGAACAUAUGUGUAAGUAACUGUGCACAUCUUGACGGUACCUAAUCAGAAAGCCACGGCUAACUACGUG